AAUUUCCCGUGACAAAGUUAAUGCUAUUCACUUUAACCUGUCUGAAAACUAUCUGGACAAGAUAGCUGGACAUGUCUCCUUGGGAGCUAUGUGUGGGAGGAUGGUGUUCUCAAGAAGUACCCUGAAACCUCAGGGUAACACUGAAGGUUGCAGGACUCUUUUAUUGAGUUGUCCUUCUUGGCAGACUCUGAACUUGCUGGAAAUUCUCUGCUACUUCCAAUUACAUCUUAUGUCCAGUAUUUCUGACUGACAGAAAACGAAUUCUCCGUUUCCUUAUUACCAGAAUCAACAUUAUCUGUCAGCAAUACAAAGGGCGAAUGUAAUUAACCACCCACUCACUUGGAACAAGUAGUACCUCGAUUCAUUGAAUUUAGAGCAUCUAAAGCUGUCAGCAACUUGCCAUCUGCUGAGGGUACCUGCCGCCGUCUGAAAUGCCCUCUCGGCUCGGCGCUGGGUUGGUUUUGGAAGGGACAUCUCGCUUCCUCAGCUCUGUUUUGAGAAUGUUUGUGUAGUUUUUGGGUAGAUAAAAGCUGAAUGAGAAAUUGCUCUAGAAGUUGUAAAUUAAUUGCUCCCCAAAUCAGAUCUGUAAGGCCUCCGAUGUAAUUUGUGUCAAUACUGUAGUAAAAAGAGAUUGCACAGCAUCAAUAAUUAACUAUAUGUAUCCUAAUGAAGAACUUGUAAUUCUGUAAACAUUUCUGUGAGUCAUGUAUCCCAGCUGUUAUUCCCUGCGCUCCCCCAAUAUAUGGGAAGGGGAAUGUCAGCUGCAGUGAGCCUGGCUGCUCCUUACAAAGCCAGAUCUGCUGCUUUCUCUCCUCUCCCCGUACUCCUCUACCUCAUUUAAAGGAACGCCAAAUUUGUGUUCUACUUGAAAUUGAAAACAAGUCUUUUAAGAAAGUGAAUUGGUGAACCAGUGUUAAUAGUACAAGUGAUCCCAAAGU